UCAUUGUUGUAGAUAAAUGAUCGUUGUGAGUAUCCUAUCAAUUGGACCUUGAUCAGGAUGAUGGAAAAUAUUUGUCUCCUAAAGCAAAUCGGAGUGUUCGUAACCUUUAUACACUUCACAGUGUUUGGGUUCACUGUAUUUGUGGGUAUGAUGGACCUUAUUAUGCUUUUAUCAGGCCAACCUCUGAUCAAUGGUUCAAGUUUUAUGAUGAGUGGGUAACAAAAGAAGAUAUGAAGAGGGCCUUCGCAGAGCAGUAUGGUGGUGAGGAA